GAUGGCUGCCAGGUGCGGUGGCUAAGCCUGGGCACAUCUGAAGCCGGUGCCGACCAUCAGGGCGACGAGAGAGUGUUAUUAAGCCGAGUUGGCCAGGUCCCUAAGUCUUGGAUGGCGAGCUGUAGAUAGGCCUUGAGCCUGAGCCCAAGGAUCUCCACCUCUCAACCCCUGAACUCCACCUGCUCUGGUCGGGCCGGUAGGCGGCUUCUAGCCGAACCCCUUGCCUCGCACCUCAUUACUCUGCAGCCCUUUGCACUACCUCAUACACACCCUGCCCAUAAACUCAACUGUCACUACAAACUGCCAUAUCCACAACCCCAACCCUGGGACCCCAUUUUGAAAAUUCCUAGCGCCAACAUUGCUGUCAACAG